CCCCGCUCCCGAUCCCGCCAGAGCCGCGUCCCCGGGACGGGCUGGGGCUGCCCCGCGGGGCUCUGAGCCUCCGCUUGGCGAGCGGGGGAACGGGGUACAUGAGCCUACAGGAUGUUGAAGGUGACGCUCUCAGGAGCUCUCAGACUUCUGAGGAUGUCAGUGGGGAUGCCUAGAUCUAAAAUGGCUCCAGAUACAAAUGAAAACUGGAUGAAAACCCAGCAGUAAGAGGCCUCCUGCCUUCAUUCCUCAAGGCAUGGAGAGAGAAGUGUUGGUGGCUGAGGUGGUGGAUCUAGGAGUGGGGCAGCGUCCUCUUCUGCUCCAGCAUCCCUCUGUGUAAAGAGACACUGAAAGGUGGAACUCUCUGAUCCUCUCCUGCUUGUCUCUUGGCACGUGCAGUCCACUUUGCUCACUCACUAAAAGCCUCAGGGGCUUUUUCUAUCUGCAGCAUCUGGUGUUCUUAAAUUGAUGAGGAAGGUGGCUGGUUCCUGGGGAGGUCAUCUUGGGAAAGAGUACCGAAGCAGAGGGAAAGUUUUACAAUAUAUGGGAGCCUGGACUACAAGGAGAUGGUAAAAGGCUUCACAGCAGUAUUUUGUGGAAGUUCAGCUGCCUGCUUGCCUCAGUGGGUGUUACUGUUCUUCAAUUUCCAGAAAAAAACAAUCCCUGUGUCUGCGCUCGGAAGGAGCUGGAAUGUGAAGUAACACAGGCAGAGGAGGCGAAUCAGAGCUGACAGUGAAAAGGGGGCCUGGCAGCCUGGGCUCUGCCUGUAAACAGACUUUUUCUUCACUUGAUAUUUCACUAUUUCAGUAGUUUAUUAUGGACAAGGAACAUCUCCAAAAUGGUGCAGGAAGUUUUGUCAUGCCGGAAGCAGAGAGUAUGUGUGACCACAUGGCCACCUCUGUGCCAUGACCUCGAGUGUGUUCCCACAUUGAGCAGCACCAGUGUGGAACGAUGCCCGCCUGGGAAAUCCAUCCCUGAGGUGUUGACAACGGUCAUUUUUGGGGUGUUUCUUUUCCAUCUAUGUGAUGUAGAGAAACAGUUGAACAAAUGAUCGUGGUGGGUGUAAUGCUGAAGAAAAAAGGCACCAAACCAUUUUGUGGGAACCUAUGAAAUCCCUGGAGUAACUGAGAAUUUCCUCUUCCCUUCCACUGGAAUGAACUUGAAGAAAUCACAUCAUUGGUGGUAUAUCCUGUGAUUUGUAUAGUAUAAUUUAUGUAGUGUAAUUGCUGGAGUGCUGCAUCAUGCCUUCAGCUUGCUGAAGAACACACAUAAACCUUGACUGAAUUUAGUUCAA